rnacentral:rRNA from 1 species
AACAAACGCUGACGGCGUGCCUAAUACAUGCAAGUCGAACGGGGAAAGCUUUCGGGUGAGUACUAGUGGCGCACGGGUGAGGAACGCGUGGAUAAUCUGCCUUAGAGUUGGGGAUAACUAGUCGAAAGAUUAGCUAAUACCGCAUAAGACCACAGGAGCUGCGGCUCAAGGGGUCAAAUGUUUUUCGCUCUAAGAUGAGUCCGCGUAAGAUUAGCUAGUUGGUGAGGUAACGGCUCACCACGGCGACGAUCUUUAACUGGUCUGAGAGGAUGAUCAGUCACACUGGAACUGAGACACGGUCCAGACUCCUCCGGGAGGCAGCAGUAGGGAAUAUUGCACAAUGGAGGAAACUCUGAUGCAGCGACGCCGCGUGAGUGAUGAAGGCCUUCGGGUCGUAAAGCUCUGUCGCAGGGGAAUAACAAAAUGAAGGUACCCUGAAAGAAAGGAUCGGCUAACUUCGUGCCAGCCGCCGCAGAAAUAC